GAUCCUGGAAUCCAACCUCAUU
rnacentral:miRNA from 1 species